UACGGAGGGAGCUAGCGUUGUUCGGAAUUACUGGGCGUAAAGCGUACGUAGGCGGCUUUGUAAGUCAGAGGUGAAAGCCUGGAGCUCAACUCCAGAACUGCCUUUGAGACUGCAUCGCUCGAAUCCGGGAGAGGUGAGGGGAAUUCCGGGUGUAGAGGUGAAAUUCGUAGAUAUUCGGAAGAACACCAGUGGUGAAGGCGGCUCACUGGGCCGGUAUUGACGCUGAGGUGCGAAAGCGUGGGGAGCAAACAGG
rnacentral:rRNA from 1 species